rnacentral:SRP_RNA from 1 species
GCUAGGUGUGGUGGUGUGUGCCUGUAGUCCCAGCUACUCAGGAGGCUGAGGCAGGAGAAUCGCUGGAACCCGGGAGGCGGAGGUUGCAGUGAGCCGAGAUCGUGCCACUGCACUCCAGCCUGGUGACAGAGCGAGACUCCAUCUCAAAAAAAAAAAAAAAAAAAAAAANNNNNNNNNNCUGUCACCAGGCUGGAGUGCAGUGGCACGAUCUCGGCUCACUGCAACCUCCGCCUCCCGGGUUCCAGCGAUUCUCCUGCCUCAG